UACGUAGGUGGCAAGCGUUAUCCGGAUUUACUGGGUGUAAAGGGCGUGUAGGCGGGGACGCAAGUCAGAUGUGAAAACCACGGGCUCAACCUGUGGCCUGCAUUUGAAACUGUGUUUCUUGAGUACUGGAGAGGCAGACGGAAUUCCUAGUGUAGCGGUGAAAUGCGUAGAUAUUAGGAGGAACACCAGUGGCGAGGGCGGUCUGCUGGACAGCAACUGACGCUGAGGCGCGAAAGCGUGGGGAGCAAACAGG
rnacentral:rRNA from 1 species